rnacentral:rRNA from 1 species
CAAAACCUGGUUGAUCCUGCCAGUAGUGAUAUGCUUGUCUCAAAGAUUAAGCCAUGCAUGUCUAAGUAUAAGUCAUCUAACGACGAAACUGCGAAUGGCUCAUUAUAACAGUCGUAAAUUUCCUGGACGGUUUUCCUACUAUGGAUAACUGUAGUAAUUCUAGAGCUAAUACGUGCACAAAUCCCUGACUUAUUG